AACAGAGUCUCCAGGAAGUUAAGUGACUGACUUGCCCAAGACCCGUGGAGCGGUGAUUCAAGCCUGGAUCUGCCUGACCCUUUCUGCCAUAUCACGCUGUCCUGCAAGACACUGGACAGGAUCUCUCAUGACUCUUGAGGACAUGAUGGAUGGUCGUGAGGGCACAGAAGGGGCUCCCGUCUGGCUGAAUGACAACCAUGGAAUGUUCUUAUAAGUGGAAGCAGUUGUGUAUCGAGCUGGGGGGAUGUAAAAGGAGGAGGCGGAGGAGAAGAAGAAGAGAGACGAUGAGGAGACAUCGGCCAGCUCUGAGGAGUGGGCAUCCUACCUGGCAAGAUAGAGCAAGACCCUGACCGCUGACCUCGCAGGAGUCUACCCUCCUUCAGAGAUGAGAGAUCAGUGACUGUGGUUCCCUGCAUUGCCGCUGGUUCAGGGAAUAUGGAGCUGUGCAGAGAAUGUGGACUUUAGAAAAUUGUAAAGAAAUGGAUUUCAGCCUGAGCGCCUUUUUGUAUCGCCUCAUCUGUUAAGUGGGUUUUGUAAAACCUCUCUUCCAGGCAGUGGUGUGCUGGAGUGGGUUCCUACUGGCUUAUAUAGAACCAAUUAAGGACAUUUCUUCCCAAUUCUGUGUUCAGUGACAUCCCAUUGGGAGCUGGAAGUUGACCUUGGUGGGAAUAUUUACACCACAGAAAUUAGCAAAUACUACAAAUCAGGGCUCUUUUUUUCUUCCAGAUUGCUAGAUGGUAGAUAACCAGCAUACCACUGCUUACAGAGUUAUGGUUAGGAUGAUGAAUGCUGAACCCCUGGCACACGGUCCCCACAUGUGCACACAUGCUUGGCACACAGUAGGUGUCAUAAGUGUGACUACCUUCUCCUUUGACAUUUCUCUUGUUUGAGAGAGACUACUGUUUCCUUUCCUCAGAAUAAUAACUCCCCUUCAGCCAGGGCUUUCUCCAU